rnacentral:misc_RNA from 1 species
UGCGUUUGCAGGGUGUGGAACUCGGUGGCUUCGGACGGUGGGAUUGUGAGGAGCGCGUUUAUGAAUCCGUGGAAAUUGAAGGAAGUACUAGGGAAGCCUGUGUCUGGAAGUUUCUGGAGAGAUAAUGGAAUCUGGAAGUUCGCUAUUUCGCAUAAGAUUGUAAGAGGGGAUACAGUUGCUAGUCUUGCAGUCAAGUGUUCGAUUCAAGCAUUGUACAAUUUCAAGUUCUUUGCUUUUUUUGCUACUUUCAUAUGGUUGAUUGAAAUUGCUAACAUUUGUGUUUUUUCAGCUGUUAGCUUAUUUUUAAUUUUCU